CCUACGGGAGGCAGCAGUGAGGAAUAUUGGUCAAUGGGCGGAAGCCUGAACCAGCCAAGUCGCGUGAGGGAAGACGGUCCUAUGGAUUGUAAACCUCUUUAGGCGGGGAGCAAUGCCGGGCACGUGUGUCUUUUUGUAUGUACUUUAUGAAUAAGGAUCGGCUAACUCCGUGCCAGCAGCCGCGGUAAUACGGAGGAUCCGAGCGUUAUCCGGAUUUAUUGGGUUUAAAGGGAGCGUAGAUGGGUUGUUAAGUCAGUUGUGAAAGUUUGCGGCUCAACCGUAAAAUUGCAAUUGAUACUGGCAGUCUGGAGUGCAGUUGAGGUAGGCGGAAUUCGUGGUGUAGCGGUGAAAUGCUUAGAUAUCACGAAGAACUCCGAUUGCGAAGGCAGCUUACUAAACUGCCACUGACGUUGAUGCUCGAAAGUGUGGGUAUCAAACAGGAUUAGAUACCCCUGUAGUC
rnacentral:rRNA from 1 species